ACGAAAAAUUUUUCUUUAAAUUAAUUACCACUUCCUCAUAAAAAAAAGUUUUGUUUCUAUUUUAAUUUUCUGAGUACUAAAUUUUUUUUUUCUCAUUAUUAAUUAUAAAUUCAUUGCCAACUCUUGAAUUGAAAAAUCCCACUCUUAUUUCAUUAUUAUUUGCCUUAACAGUUAGGAAGAUAUACGAUUGCUUAGCGCUUUACACUUUUGUAUAAUCAGCUGCUCUAUGUGCUUUCAAAAAAAGACGUGGAAUUUAUCUGAAAUUAUAAACUUGAAAACCAUUUCAGUUUUUUCUCUUAUCUUCAUCCAAUAAGAGUGCCGUAUUAAGCUCUUCAUUAAGAAUAAUAAUUUAGUAUCAGGAAAAUCUUUAACGAAUUAAGAUCAUAAAAAUAUUUAGCAGAAAGUGUGUCUCUUCUUGUGUGUUAUGCAACCGUGAUAAUGUCGCAGAUAUUUUACGUUCAACGAAAUAAUAAUUAAUGAAAAAAAAAGAGGAUAAUAUUUCAAGGAGAAUAGAAAAAUACAUUCUAUAACGAAAAUGAAGAAAAAAUAUAGGUUUUUGGGAAAAUUGACUAAAGUGUACUUUUUGUUUUUGAGUUUUUAAAUUUUUAACUGUGUUUAUCGUAGUGUUUCAUUGUAUUUUUAAGUUAAUUAACUAAUAAGUGUAAUUCUAAGGUUUCUUCAGAUAUAGAUAUAGUUUAUAAUAAUUUAUCUUGAAAGAGUAAGACGCGUUUAAAGUCUGACCUUACCGAUUGACAUUAAUCAACGAACCUCAGGCGUUUUGCUUCAUCAAGUUGGUCAUCAUUAUUUUGUUAAAGAAAUUUUCUUAUCCGAUUUUUGGAUCUGGCUCUUACAUUAUUUGAAUAUAAAAAAGAAGAAAAUUUUACCAAACAAAAAAAAAAUAAAAAGUCAAUACUCAAUUGCCUGCUGAUAGCAAUUUAAAGAAUAAAAAAAAAAAGAAGUUACCAACCGUGGAGAGAUUUACUGAACAAAUAAAAGAGUAAUUUGCUGUUAUCGAGAUUCCUAAUCAAGAAACAAUUUAACUCAGUUUGUUAUGUGCCUUUGAUGCGUAUAGAAAUUACUUUCAAAUUAGUUAACAAAUCACCAAAAGAAUGUUAUAAAGAGAGUGGAAAAUUUUUUCUAUACAAAAAAAAUUAUUAACUCAAGUUAUUGACUCCUCAAAAAUAUUGAGGAUAUAAAUAUAUUGAUAAAUUAAAAAUUGAUCAGAAGCAGAAUAUUUACUUGAAAUUGGACCAAAAAUUAAAUUGAAUUUAAUUGGAAAUUUAUCAACUUGGUGUUAAUCAACACUGGAAAAUCAACACUAAAAAAAUCAACACUAAAAAUCAACAUUAAAAAUCAACAGUAAAAAAUCAACAUUCAAAAUAUUAUAAAUAUUAUAAAUAUUAUAAAUAUUAUAAAUAUUAUAAAUAUUAUAAAUAUUAUAAAUAUUAUAAAUAUUAUAAAUAUUAUAAAUUUGAUAAAUAUUAUAAAUAUAAUAAAUAUUGAAAAUUAAAAAUUUGUGAAUAAAUAUUGAAACUGGUGGAAUAGUCGUCUAGAGGAGAUCUAAAGGAGAUGUUGAGGAAAUAUUUUUAAUUUCACGAGAACUUUAAGGUAUGAGAUAAACGCGUUUUGUUCAUCAAGUCGUUGAGUGGUUCCAAUUGAGGGUCAGGUCGAUUCUCUUUCCCCACUCCUAUUGGUCGACCUCUUAAUCUUUCUAGGGAUUAGAUCACGACUCAUAAUUGUCGCGUAUGCGACUGCUUUACUUGAGUAUUUGUCACAGUACUUUCAAGCUGACAGCAUCGACUAUUCAAUUUUUCUCUUAAAAAAAAUUUUAUUUAUUUUUCCUCCGAAAAUAAUUUAUUUCUCAAGUAGAAAUUUUUUUUCUCCAUUCAUCAUCACUUUGGACAUUUGUUUCCAAAACAGAAACAAGAAAAGUGUUUAAAAUUAAAUAUUAAAAUUGAUAUCUCGAUUGAUAAUACUAAAAAGUGAAUUUACUUGUUGUAAUCACCAAAGAAGUGAUCAUCAUCAGCUGAAUGGCACAAUUGUAUUGGCUCUUGUUAUUCGAAAGACAUUAAGAUCGAGUGUUGUUGUUGUUGUUGUUGUUGUUUUUGGGAAAGAAAAGAAUUUUGAAAGUUGGAGCGAUUCGCUUUUUGGAGAAAAUUUAAUUCUGGAUUUAAAGAGGAAUUAACCAAGUGUUAUUAAUAAAUUAUUUGAGUGAAAGUGCGCAAAGAAGUUGUUAAAAAUCACGAAUAUAUAAAAGUUUUGAUAUUUAAUUUUACGCUCGCCAUGGAGCGGAGAAUCAUGAAAAUGUGAUGACGAAAUGCCAAGAAGGUUUUUUACUAUCAAGACACUAACUAGUGUGCGAGGAAUAGUCGUUAGAAAAUAAUAUCCACUGACAGAAGGCAUAAGGCAUUUUUGUUUCAAUAAAAAAAAAAAAAUUGUUUCAACAGAAAAAUUUGACGAAAAAAAAAAAAUUGUGACGUUUAAAAAUACUCGAAAAAAAAGUUACACUUGUGUAAAGUGAUAAACAGGUGUUGACAGAAAAAGUCAACGACUCUUAGUCUUCUUGAGAAUAAAAAAGAAGGAAGAAGAAGAAAAAAAGAGAAAGAACAAUAAAGAAUAAAAUCCCGAAAAAAAACCAA